rnacentral:pre_miRNA from 1 species
AACCACACUGAUUCACCCGCGAGAUGACGUGGCUAUUUCACAUAGGACGAGGGUGUGGCAUUCUAUUACUAGCCAUCGCACGAAAUUAAUAGGAUAUGCCACAUCAUCAUCCUAGAUGGAAUAACCACGUCAUCACACGGGUGAAUCCAUUCAUCGAUAGUGUGGUU